GUCAAGAAAAUUAAGAUAUUACAUGUGAACAAUAUUAAAAAAUGAAGAAAAAAUAAUAUUUAACACAACAGAAUUCUAUAAAACAACAUAAUUGAAAUGUGAUGGGAAUUACACUGAACUUUCGGGAAAAAAAUGACAAAAACAAAUUAUUGUAACGCAUACACUGAACAUUAUUAGUACACAAAGUAAACUAGUGAGAGAAUGAAGAGUGAAAGUGUGCUUUAAACAUCCUGUUAGAGCCAUCUUACAUUUAUUUGAAUUAGAGUAGAAUAUGUGUCUGAUUAUUGAGAUUUGAUUUUUUUUUUUUUUUUUGUCAUUUCUUUGAGCUGAAAACCUACCCCUAGUGUUGCAUACCAGUCAUUCCACCAGAUAACACCUGUAGGGUCUUGCAUAAAAAGAUUAGGAAAUUAGAUUAAAGAAAUUAGAUAGGAUAGCUGUCAAUAAAAACACAAGUUUUAACUGCAUAUUUGUAGGUUUCCUUGUCAAUUGUAGUAUUUUUCUUUUCCUCUUUUUUUUUUUUUUGUAUGUGUGUCAAACAUUUGGAUGGAAAUAAAUGAAGCAAACUAAUAUAAACUAAAGCAUGUUGACUAUAGAUAUAAUAUAUAAUAUGGGCUAAAUGUGUCCAUGGUUGUAAAACAUUCUUAUAUUUAAUCUGUUUAUCUCACGAAUCACAAUAUGUAUAAGAAAAUGUGAAAUUUACUUGCUAUAUUCCUCAUUUAGUUGCUGUAUUUCUUUCCAACUCUAGAUGGCGAUUAGGAGUUGCAUAGGCAGGCCUACUUACCAAUUUGGGUCAGACCCAAAGACCCAGACGUUAUUCACUUUAGAGCAAUUAUAUGUGCAAAUUAUAUAGCAAAGUUUUAUAUAGUGAAUUUCCACGUUUUUGCUCGGCUGAUCACGUGCUUCACUGCAGAGCGCGGGCACGAACCUGGCCAGAACGGCGCGAAUUUCUGAGAGAAGCAGGCGUUCAUGGAAAUGGUGUUCACGGAAACCUGGCUUCAUCCAGACAUGGCCAGUUCACAGUUUGAGGUGGAUAGAUGGCUCUCUGGUUUGGGCCAGUCGUUCUGCAGCAUCAGGCAAGAACCGAGGAAAGAUACAACACUGCUCUAACAAAAACUAGAGUAAUCAUUGAAAGAACGAUUGGGCAGCUUAAAAGGAGAUUUCACUGUCUUCACGGGGAGCUGCGUCUAGAACCAGCAAGAGCAGGAAGAUUCAUCAUUGCAUGCGUCAUCCUCUUUAACAUAUCCAAAGACUUAGGUGUGCUCAUGGAUGACUACACUGAACCUGAAGGCGUAGUGCAGCCGAAUCAUAACGUGGAGGAUGUGACAGAGGGACAUGCUAUCUGAGAUGUGCUUGUGCAAAAAUUUUUUUCCUAAUGUGAGCUAGAAUAUGUUAAACUGUAGGCUAUAAUAGUGUUUAGAUACUCUAUAAAGCAGUAUAAUUAAUAAUUAAAAAUAAGUAAAAUCAAAACUUUAUUCUAUAUACUUUUCUUUAUUCAAGGCUGUAAUAUAUACAUUUUUAAUUAUACAUUGAAAAAAACAGCACAUUUACAGUAAGGAAAUCGCAUUAGUUAUGUAUUGUUAUAGGACAGUAUUGUUAUAUAGUUAUUAAAUAAUUUUAUAUUACAAACCAUUUGAACAAUAAACACCCUAUAUACCAACAGAUCAACGUUUGUGUUACUCUUCCCCUACUGGUUGUAAA